AUGAUACUUGGUACUACCUGCACGACUUAAAGUUCGAGUUUCGUUAUCGACCAUUGAUUUUUGGCGAAAUUACGAGACUUAGACUUAGAAACUUCCUCUAGAAUAAUGUUUCGUCUGGUCUUUUCUCCUAAACCGUUUCAGAUAUUUACCUUAUUUUCGGUGUUUGAGUCUAUUAUGUACCAGUCCCUUUAUGUACCACUAUCUGACAGACUGACCCUUUAUGUACCAUAUAUAUAAUAUAUAGAGAUAAAUAAAAUAUGGUUUCAUAUGAAUGUGUGUUCAUAAUGAAAUGUAUUUUGUGACGUAUUAUUUAUAAAUUUAGACUAAUAUAUUGCCAUAGAUUAUAUUUUAUGCCAGCUUGUGUGUCUGUGACUAUCUUAGUAUAAUUUAUUAGCCCCAGUAGUAAUAAAUUAUUCAUAUUCUUACCUUAAAUUGAAGUAAAUUAUAAAAAUCCAUUUGUCACUAUCUUAUCCCGACUAAGUCUAACUAAAAUGUUUGUAUUUCCUAUUGUAUAAUUGAAAUGUGAUACUUUGAAGAGAAGAGAGAAUGACCUUCAUUUUCAAACUGUAAAAAUCAAAUUAGAUCAAUACUUCCAUAUUUAAUCAUGUUUAGAGAAUGACCUUAAUUUUCAAACUGUGAACAAUAAAAAAAUUUCCUCCUUUAAUCAUGUUUACAAAAAAUUAACUGGUGGUGUCUUCAAAGAAUGUCUAUUUGCGGUAUAAAUACAAUGUAAAGUAUAAGGUACCUAUGUAAUAAUAAAAUUAUCACAUUCAUUUUCAAAGAAAAAAUCAAAGGGAGGAUAAAGAGAAAGUUUUCACGGGUUAUCAAGUAAUUAAGUACCAAUGUCACUGACAAUGAUGAAGCAAUUUCGUGUGAUAUUUGUGAGAGAUGGCAGCACAUGAGAUGCAACACUGGUAUUACCCUCAGACAGUUUCGCCGCAUGGUGAGGCAGGAGGUUGCAUUUCCCUGGUCUUGCAACCAGUGUUGGGAACAUCCUGCUGCCGGACUUGACCAUACCGCUGCAGACCAACCCGCUGCCGACGAACCCGCAGAACCCACUGCCGACAAACCAGCAGACCAUGCAGUCAACGGGAUUCAAGAUAAUGCUUUCAAUGUCCAGGGAGACAUAAGAGAGAGACCUCACAUAGAGGAUGGGUAAGUGUCAUUCAUCAGAAAUCAUCAUUCUUCCUUACACAUAAAUAUAUGAUUUGACUAUAGCAAGCACAAUUGACAAGGGAAUUAAAAUCUUUAAAAAAAUAUGUAUUAUUAUUACUUUAAUUAUAAACAUCUCAUUAAUGUUAUAUCAUAUAUACUUUCAGGGAAUUACCAGACCGACCACCCAUUUGUAUUUGUACUGUUUGACAAUAAAUGAAAAAAAACAAAAAUGAUUUGAAUGAUAAAUGUGCUUCGCAUUUCAUGUGAGGAACUUAAGAAGUGUGACAUGUACUAUGUAUAUUCCCAUGUGCUAUUUCUAUGUACUAUGAUGAAUUUGUUUUUAAA